rnacentral:rRNA from 1 species
GACGAACGCUGGCGGCGUGCUUAACACAUGCAAGUCGAACGGAAAGGCCCUGCUUUUGUGGGGUGCUCGAGUGGCGAACGGGUGAGUAACACGUGAGUAACCUGCCCUUGACUUUGGGAUAACUUCAGGAAACUGGGGCUAAUACCGGAUAGGAGCUCCUGCUGCAUGGUGGGGGUUGGAAAGUUUCGGCGGUUGGGGAUGGACUCGCGGCUUAUCAGCUUGUUGGUGGGGUAGUGGCUUACCAAGGCUUUGACGGGUAGCCGGCCUGAGAGGGUGACCGGCCACAUUGGGACUGAGAUACGGCCCAGACUCCUACGGGAGGCAGCAGUGGGGAAUAUUGCACAAUGGGCGGAAGCCUGAUGCAGCAACGCCGCGUGCGGGAUGACGGCCUUCGGGUUGUAAACCGCUUUCGCCUGUGACGAAGCGUGAGUGACGGUAAUGGGUAAAGAAGCACCGGCUAACUACGUGCCAGCAGCCGCGGUGAUACGUAGGGUGCGAGCGUUGUCCGGAUUUAUUGGGCGUAAAGGGCUCGUAGGUGGUUGAUCGCGUCGGAAGUGUAAUCUUGGGGCUUAACCCUGAGCGUGCUUUCGAUACGGGUUGACUUGAGGAAGGUAGGGGAGAAUGGAAUUCCUGGUGGAGCGGUGGAAUGCGCAGAUAUCAGGAGGAACACCAGUGGCGAAGGCGGUUCUCUGGGCCUUUCCUGACGCUGAGGAGCGAAAGCGUGGGGAGCGAACAGGCUUAGAUACCCUGGUAGUCCACGCUGUAAACGGUGGGUACUAGGUGUGGGGUCCAUUCCACGGGUUCCGUGCCGUAGCUAACGCUUUAAGUACCCCGCCUGGGGAGUACGGCCGCAAGGCUAAAACUCAAAGAAAUUGACGGGGCCCCGCACAAGCGGCGGAGCAUGCGGAUUAAUUCGAUGCAACGCGUAGAACCUUACCUGGGUUUGACAUGGAUCGGGAGUGCUCAGAGAUGGGUGUGCCUCUUUUGGGGUCGGUUCACAGGUGGUGCAUGGCUGUCGUCAGCUCGUGUCGUGAGAUGUUGGGUUAAGUCCCGCAACGAGCGCAACCCUUGUUCACUGUUGCCAGCACGUUAUGGUGGGGACUCAGUGGAGACCGCCGGGGUCAACUCGGAGGAAGGUGGGGAUGACGUCAAGUCAUCAUGCCCCUUAUGUCCAGGGCUUCACGCAUGCUACAAUGGCUGGUACAGAGAGUGGCGAGCCUGUGAGGGUGAGCGAGUCUCGGAAAGCCGGUCUCAGUUCGGAUUGGGGUCUGCAACUCGACCUCAUGAAGUCGGAGUCGCUAGUAAUCGCAGAUCAGCAACGCUGCGGUGAAUACGUUCCCGGG